rnacentral:rRNA from 1 species
GAUGAACGCUGGCGGCGUGCCUAAUACAUGCAAGUCGAGCGAACAGACGAGGAGCUUGCUCCUCUGACGUUAGCGGCGGACGGGUGAGUAACACGUGGAUAACCUACCUAUAAGACUGGGAUAACUUCGGGAAACCGGAGCUAAUACCGGAUAAUAUAUUGAACCGCAUGGUUCAAUAGUGAAAGAGGGUUUUGCUGUCACUUAUAGAUGGAUCCGCGCUGCAUUAGCUAGUUGGUAAGGUAACGGCUUACCAAGGCAACGAUGCGUAGCCGACCUGAGAGGGUGAUCGGCCACACUGGAACUGAGACACGGUCCAGACUCCGACGGGAGGCAGCAGUAGGGAAUCUUCCGCAAUGGGCGAAAGCCUGACGGAGCAACGCCGCGUGAGUGAUGAAGGUCUUCGGAUCGUAAAACUCUGUUAUUAGGGAAGAACAAAUGUGUAAGUAACUAUGCACGUCUUGACGGUACCUAAUCAGAAAGCCACGGCUAACUACGUG